rnacentral:rRNA from 1 species
AAUGAACGCUGGCGGCAGGCCUAAUACAUGCAAGUCGAACGAGUGGCGGACGGGUGAGUAAUGUCUGGGAAACUGGCUGACGGAGGGGGAUAAAUACUGGAAACGGUAGCUAAUACCGCAUACAAUCGGAUGUGGCAAGAUGGGAUUAGGUAGAAGGUGGGGUAAAGGCUCACCUAGGCGACGAUCCCUAGCUGGUCUGAGGGGAUGACCAGCCACACUGGAACUGGGAACCGGUCCAGACUCCUACGGGAGGCAGCAGUGGGGAAUAUUGCAGAAUGGGCGCAAUCCUGAUGCAGCCAUGCCGCGUGUAGGAAGAAGGCCUUCGGGUUGUAAAGUACUUUCAGCGGGGAGGCGUUACCCGAAGAAGAAGCACCGGCUAACUCCGUGCCAGCAGCCGCGGUAAUAC